UACGUAGGGUGCAAGCGUUGUCCGGAAUUAUUGGGCGUAAAGAGCUCGUAGGCGGUCUGUCGCGUCUGCUGUGAAAACUCGGGGCUUAACCCCGGGCCUGCAGUGGGUACGGGCAGACUAGAGUGCGGUAGGGGAGACUGGAAUUCCUGGUGUAGCGGUGAAAUGCGCAGAUAUCAGGAGGAACACCGGUGGCGAAGGCGGAUCUCUGGGCCGAUACUGACGCUGAGGAGCGAAAGCGUGGGGAGCAAACAGG
rnacentral:rRNA from 1 species